UGAAUGAACAUCAUUGAGUGCAGCGUUGAUGUAAUUUCGUUUUGUUUUUCAUUGUUGAAUGGAUUAAAAGAAUUUAUACCAGCGUUGCGCUCAAUUAUGUUUUUC
rnacentral:pre_miRNA from 14 species